UGGUGCGACCAUACCAGCUCUAACGCACCGGAUCCCAUCAGAACUCCGAAGUUAAGCGUUCUUGGGUGAGAGUAGUACUAGGAUGUGUGACCCCCAGGGAAGUCCUCGUGUUGCACCCC
rnacentral:rRNA from 1 species